UAACCCUACCAAGAGUCAACAGAGUACAAGUAAAAAAAGGCUUCUGAAUGUCUUCCACCACAUUCACUGCUUCAAAUAUCAUUGUCUUCAUGGCCCUGUCAGAUAAGUAAUAAAGCGAUAAUGUUAUUAUUCACUGAUAUUCAUUCUCCCAAGCCUCCCUACAGCCUUCCCACCUACCAAAUUGGCAUUUGAAAGUGCGUUCAUGGGGCCUGCAAAUCAGGAAUUCUGUUUCAAAGCGGCUGGCCCCUUGCUCUUUACCUGCACCCUGCCAUGAGCAAUGUUUGCAGCAUGCAAAUCCCUCAUUUUCAUAUCCCAAACCCCCAAUCAUAAGAUGCCCAGGAGAUCCUACUUCCUCUCACACGAAAGUACAAAGGUCGAGUUUAGAGACCUUUUUACAAAAUCUGGCCCCAGCCAAAACUCUAUUAAUUCUUAAAAGAUCUUGUCAGAUUCGUGAUGCCCCAAAGUUUUUUAAAAUUCAAAUUGCAUACAAGCAUAGUCCAUGCUAAAACCUUAUGCUGUAAAUUAGGUUGUAAAUUCUUAUUAAUAACAUAAGGCAACAAAAAGUCAAUAAAGGAAUGAAGUUGGAACAUUUUAUUGGCUCUUUUUUGCUUCCUCGAGCAAGAAUUAUUUCUAAUGCAAGAUGAAGUGUUAGGAGACGUGAUGAUCCCCUUUUUGCCUAGAAGAUGUUGUGAGGUUUCUUUAACUGCAAGACUUUCAUGGUGGCCCCAGUGCUGCAGUGCAUCUGGCUGAAAAGAUUUCCUGUAUUUUUCUAAAAGGGUGCUGUUAUUGUUCCUGCUGCUCUGGUUGUUUCCACGAGCCUUUAAAAUGAAACCAAGUCCCACACCAAUUUGUGAGGCAGACAUUUCAAAUGUUGGGAAAACUUUAAAAUCAAAGUUGGAUUUUGCAGGUAUUCACUGUCAUUAGACCAUGGGAAUCUUGAAAUACCCUUAAUCCACAUUUACCUUUCAUUUGAAAUAACAGCACACCCCCGAUGUUUGCAGACUGUAUUCCUUUAACAUAGGAAAUAAGAACCACAUAUGUUUAAUAUACUGACAUGUGCAACACUCACUUGGUACAUGUGGCCCACUGAUGUGAUCAUAGGCUUUCCUCAAGUUAGCUCUUCAAAUCAGAAGGCAGUGCCACCCUUUCACCUCACGAUACCCCGAGAUCCCACACCGACACUGCGCCCUCCCGCUUCUUCUGCUAAGGUAGCACUAGAGCACUGGUAUUGGAGAGGAGAGGAAGAGGGAGGGGGUGAUGGGAAUAUAUCAGAAGCCCCAUGACAACAUUUUUAUGUGCAUUCUCUAAUUUGAGAGUCUCGGGAUUUGAUUGUUUGUUUUGUUUUUUGUUUUUUUCUCUUUGUAGGAUAACCCUACUGCCAGGAGUCAGCACUGUACAAGUGAAAGGCCUUUGAAUGUCCCCCACCACAUGCUUUCCUCCAAAGCCCAUUGUCUUCAUGUCAGUUAAAUAGGAAAGUCAUGUCCCUAUUUUGUGAUAUUAAACCUUUCAAGCAUUCCUACAGCCUCUCCAUCCAUCGAGUCCUUUGCUGGGGAAGGCUCUGGAGGUUUUUCCCAGGAAGGUGUGCGGCUGUGCAGGCACAAGGGAGGUCACAACCCCUUUGACAGAAAUUGUGCCACAGCCUGAAUGUCUGCCAUAGCCCUUUCUGGAGAAGUUUCUGAAGCUGAGUCUAAUGUGUUUGACUCUAGCAGACCAUUUUUCAUGCAGGAAUCUUGGUGUUUCUGGCAGAUACUCCUUAGGCUGGAAUCCAGUCAGCUUGUCUGAGCACAGAGAAAACACUCUCCUCCACUCCUCAAAAUAUUGGGAAAAGACAGUGUAUUUGCUGCUCCUUGGAUAAAAGCAUCCCUAAUGGUGAGUGUGGUCUGCAAAUGGCAUUAUGGGCCUGCUUCAAAGGAGAUUUCUAGAUUGUAGGUUUAAUGUAUGAGCAGCAGCCCAGCCCCUGAAGGGAAGGGGUCCUGGGCUGUGUCUGCCACCUGAAGCAAGAGUGUGAGGGUGGCACUGGGCUGGGGCAGGUGGGCAGCAGAGACAAAGGGCAGACUGAAGGCAGAUAUGGGACUGCAGAGUGGGAACAGGGAGGUCAGAGGAGCCAGUGAGGCUUGGGGAGGGAGGAGAGACCUAAUAACCUAAACAACAUCCUCCCUCACUCCAUUCCUCCACUGUGCGGCUGUCCCAGCUCUGCACUGCAGCCCCUGCAUGUGCUCUGUGUGCCUUGGGCUGGCAGGAUGAGGGCAACCAGACUGUGGGAUGGAGAGGACAUUUCUGCUCUGUCUCUGCCAGUCAGUGGGCUGCGAGCCUUCAGCUUCCCUUGGCCUGGCAGGAAGAGGAAGAGCUGCAUCCACAGGAAUGGUCUUUUCAGGGUCAAGGAUCCAGUUCCUUUCUCCUCUGCCCAAAGCAGAGCAGAUGAUAACCAUUACCUACUUUGCCUAUGCCUUGAGCAUGCUCUGGAUUCAGCACAAAGACCAUAAACAUUCAUUAACUUCCCUGUCCAGCCCCCAUGAAAGGAUCCCCAGCACCUGGAGAAAGUCAGUAAUGUUGGCUAUGGCAUACAGAGAGGUGUCUGCCUCUCUCCACUGUAUACAUACAUUUAUUGUUCAAGUUAGUUUUGUAAUUAAAAUGGCAUUAAAGAAAUUGAGUAUCGAGGCUUUCAAGUCCCAGACCCAUUUUUAUCUUUAAACUUGCAGGGAAGAAAACCCAGUUUUUUGCAUGGAGAAGAUUUCUAUUCCCAUUUUCAGAAUCUCCAGCCUUUUCAUUGUUUAUUUCACGUGCAUGCAAAUGUAGGGAUUGUGCAAGCCUUGGCAGGGCAUGCUGUGGAAGUUGUAUCCACUGCUGAACAAUUUAAGCAGUUAGGUUUCAUGGAGUUUGGCAAUCCCUUCCAAAAGUGCUGAAUCUAGGCCAGGAUUUAGGCUAGACUUGCAUGGUGCUGUUAGAAAGCAUAGGUUGUGUGCAGUUAGCCUGGGAGCUGGAGAGCAGAGCUACAGUCCUGCUUCUGUCCAGUGGCUUUAAUAAAGAAUCCCAUUUAUAUUCAUUACUGCAACCAAGUCCUGUCUCUAAUCUAUCGCAAGGGACACUACAGAUAUAUUAUUUCUUUGUAGUCUCAAAAUGCUCAGAUGGUUUUUAACCUUAUUAAAUCUAAACCCCUUAAAUGUGCUUCUGAAGCAAAAGUUUUAGCAAUAAGCCUUCCAAAAAGUGCAAGAUUUACAAAGCAGAUUUAUGGCUGUGUGGUGAGUUAAAACGUUUCUCAGCAUAUCAUUUGCCAAAAUUAGAGGAAAUUCCCUACUUCAAUUGAACAGGGAGCAUUAGGAAUGUGUAUUGUGCUGGUAGAUCAGGUUGUUAGUGCUCUAAGAAGAAGGACAACAAAGUGUUAAUCUACAUAGAUGAUGUUCUGAUGGUUGUUGCAUUUCAUGAAAUAAUAAAACUUUGUUUGAAUUAUGGAAUGCUUCAAAGUGCUCAGGAUUUUACAUUUACUGUAUGAGAAUAAAAUUGGUCAUAACCUCUCGGAGUCUCUAUCUCUGUUUUUUAAUAGAACCAAGCAAACAAUUCUUUUAAAAGGUUAAACCACAGUCACAAGUACUGUGGCUCCAUGCAACUAUGUGAAUGUUCUGAAUUGUGCAGGUGCUAUCUUGGUGUUUACAAGUAAAAGAUCGAGCAGGGUGUUUCAGAGCCACUGUGGUACGUGGUGCAGCAUCAUGACUGUUUUGUGUGAAACUUACUUCACACAAAAAAGGCACACAGGUACAGAAGUUCUAGGUAUUGAUGAGUCUGAAACUAAAGAAAAGAUCCUCCUAGUUAGCUUAGGAUUUUUUUUUUUUCUGGUUAUAAAUGAUGUAAAUAAUCAUUAGCUGAAUGAGAAUACUCAGUGUUAAAUAAUAUGCUAUCAGGUUUUUGCUAUAUUGUGUAAUAACUAAGCAGACUUUUUGGCUACAGAAAGAGGAAAUAGUGCAUAGAUUGUACUUUGAUUCCAGCAUUUGGUAAACAGUAUGAUAAUGCAGAUGUUUGCUCAUUUUUCAUCUACAUUUUGGGGCCACAUGUUUUCAGUCAAGAUUUGGAGACUUACUUUCUGAGUUAACUGUAUUCUUUUAAUUAUGAUUUUAGAUAGAGCCAGCUGGAAACUAAGGGGGAACUGCCUAAGACCACCUCUACACUCACAGUAGUUAAUUUUAUUGUAUCAGUGAAAGCAAAAAUUCCAUGAGAGUAUAGAAUUAAAAGUCAAUGAAUGGAGGAACAAAAUGGCCUUAGAAACACCAGUGUCAGCAUGUCAGAGGCAGGAAUUCCCCUUUCUGUAUUCUAGUCAAAAAGAGUUCUAGAGUGGAGCCUUCUCCCAGUACCUGGCCUGGAACAGGACUUUAUUUUGGAAAUUUGGAUAAAUAUGCAAGCUGGAAAGUGAGCAAAUCUACACUGUAAAAUCCUGUAGCCAGAUGCAACAGGAAGGCAAAUUUGUCUGUGUCUAGACAGAGUGAUACAAAGUGCAUUUGAGGGAUAUCUUUUUGCUGGACAGAGAAAGCAAAAGUUGGAUAAGUGUUUACUCCAUCUGCCUGUUUUGGACAAUGGUGUUCAAGGUGACCAGGAAACACUUGAAAAUAACAUCCAAGUGUUCCUCUGAAGGAAUUUCUGUAUGUUUUAAGUGAAUUGAGUUCCUAAAUGGGUGGAUACUGAUUUUAUUUCAAGGAAUGUGUCCGUAACAAUGUGAUGCUACUGACAACAAGUUGGUCUCAUCAGUAUCUUCCAUACAGCCGUCACUGACAAUUCCAGAGAGAAGGGAUUUCCAUGAGUAACAGUAAUUUAUAAUAUUAAUCCAUUCAAAGUGCAUUAUUUCUGUAGCUUUUAUAUAAGGUAGAAAUGUGUUAAAUGCAGUAUGAACCAAUUGUUCAAAUAGAUUUUUAAUAUGCAUUUAUAUAAAUGUGAAGUGUUCCCAAAAAUUAAUUUGCAGAAAGUUUGAGGUUAGGUCUGUAUUUAUUUGUGCUUCUUUUAUGCAUUUUUAAAAGUACUAGGAGAUAAUAUAUUUACCUUUGAAAUUGUAUUCUGGGCUACAAGCUUUUAACUUGGAAGUAGAUCCAUCUGGAGUGAAGUCUGUAUCACUUGAGAGAGAAUCUUGUUCUAAACAUGUAUUGCCUUCAAAGCAAUAGAUAGCAUCAGUAAAGUUUGGUUUGUUGAUAACUUCUCAAAUACUUUGAAGAAAGAAGUCUCAGGGUGCAUUUGCAAACUUGGCACUUGGCAGAAAAAGAAUUGUGAAGGCACAAAAUAUUGUAGUGUCAGAUCUUGUUUCAGGUGGUGCCCAAAAUGCACGAGGGGUAAAGCUGCAGACUGCCUGAGCGAUCAAUCGGUGGAAACCAAGGACACGGAUUCAUGUGUGACUUGUGGAAAAUCCAUGGAUGUAUCCAGCUGCCUUCAAGCAGAAGUCAAGAAGACAGAGUAAUGAAGACCUUUCAUCUAUAGGGAAACAACAGAAUAUUUCUUGACCUGCUGUAAAAUCACAGCCAUCAACAAUAUUAUGUAUUUUGUAACUCAGCCGGCUAAUUUAACCUCAACACAUUUAGUUUGGUUAAGCCAAAGAAAAGUACUUUUCUCUUAGUUAGUUAGGAUCCUUGGCUGGCUGCCACAUCAACAACAAAGGUGAGACCUCAAGGGUUUUUCAAAUCUAAGUGAGACCAAUAAAAACCAAACAGCUUCUAAGGAAAAGAAACUACUGCUGGUGUAACCCACAACACAAAUAUGAGCACAGUUCUUAGCAAUUCUACUGAAGAAUAUUUUCAGGGGAGUGGUUGCACUUUAUGACAUUCUUAUGAAAAUAUGAAGAAUAUUAAUUUUUUCCAAUGGAAAUAAAUCCUUUCUUUUCUCCUCUGUGAAACAAGACACUCCCCAUAUUUAUAUUGCUCUGUUGCUGUACAUCCACUGAGAAUGGCCUGUCAUUCUUCAGACUCUCAUGUAUUUUACAGAGUCAACAUUACUAUUCAUCUCAUGCAACUGCAGCCAAUCUUGGCUGCCAGGUGAGACAUGAUGUUGAAACAGAGAAACCGUCUCGAAGAAAUACAAGCUCUCAAACCGUGAAUGGCUCUGUGGAUCAAAAAAGGCAUUUUGAAUUACACCUGGAAAUGAAGCAGAGAGCGGCAGAGUCCCGGGAGCAAGGAUGGGCAGGAGGAGUGGUGGCAGGGCCGGCGGUCCCAGCCUCGCCCGCUGAGGCUCUCGCAGGUCGGCUCUGAGCACAUCCCAGAUGAUUGGGAGCAGCUGCAAGCUAAGCCCAGUGCAGCGCUCCCAAUACAUUCCAGAUGAUGAAUAUGAUGCAGACUUACUGGAAGAAAAAUAUAUUUCUGAAGAGGAAAAACAAUUACUUCUCAAAGCAAGACAAUGAAGCUGAACCGACGCUACAUGGGCGUAAAAUAGAACAGAAAUUUUGGGUAAUGGCUUUAGCUUCUAAUAAAUCACCCACCUGGAGAUCCUUCUGCAGAGUGAAUUUGAGUGUAUCAGACCCCAAAUGUUUUCAGAGGUAUAUAGAGAUGAAAACUUAUGCAUUUAAACCUUGAUUUCUCCCCAAAGUACAGAUACUUUGUUGUGCCAUAGCCUCCGAUUUUCAUGCUAGCAGAAAGGUGCCUUUGCCACUCCAAACAACACUUGGGCUGUCUCACGGAAGUUAUGUGAAAAAGGCUUGGAAACACCACUUGAUACAGUGGGUUUCACUGGCUGAAUCUUCAGAGGAGACUUGAACGAAAUUUGCAAAAACAUGUCAAAAGUUAAGUGGCGAAAAUCAGCUUAAAUGCCUAAUUUUAAUUUUGUUUGUGCUCUUUGUUGUUUCAUUGCGGAGGGAGGGAAGAAGCUGUCUUUUUUCUCCCUGUCCUUUCAUUUUGUUUGGGAGAAAAUGGAUGUUGGUGAAAAGAAGAGAGCUCUGGCAGGGACUGGAAAGAGGUUGUUUAUUCUGUUUUGUUUUCUUUAGAAAGGGGCAACUCUUCUAAAACUGAUGAUGAUCCAGUAAAAGGGAGACUCCGGGUGGGGAAGAGAAAAGAAAACUAAUAAUCAGCCUCUAAAUGACAAGUUUUCUCUUGAACAAAAGAGCAACAGGAGGUGGUGCAGGCAGGGGGUCAGUGCCCAGGGGUAACGUGACCAAAACAAUGGCUGGAGAAUGUGUGUAGCCUUUGCCUCUCCAGAAGCUGCUGCCCCAGCGCCUUCACUGAGGGACUGCGAGGAGCAAACCUGACCCAGUGCUGGGCAAGUGUGGUGCCACUUCUGGAGCCCUCCAAAGAGGAGGCAAUGACUGCUGUGGGUAACUCUAGCAAGAAUUGAGGAAUUGUGAGAGAAUACCCCCGGUUCUGAAUGACAGGUGUGGCAGAACAGCCCCAGCCUGCAAGGCAGAGCCCCCACGGUGAUGGGGCUAAAGGUGGGCUUUAAAGUGACUUCAGUUAAAGAUGGAGACAGCUUGGCAGUGUCUGUGCUUCUCCUGCACUUGGUUAAUUGGCUGUUAGGGAAAGCCAGUGGUGCUGGAUAGACUGAAGUGAGAUGAUUUUAAACUAUUAUGAGCAUUCACGCAGAAGUUCAUUCUGGUUUAGACUAAAUUGGUUUUAAUUUCAAUUCAAGUAACUUCUGGGUAGGAGAGGCCUAUGGCUUGCCAUUUUGCAGCAAUGGUGAAUUUAUAGCAUAUGUGCUCCAAAUGGACUAUCAUGCAAAUUCUCCUGGUAUUUGCUCCAAGUCCAGUUCCAGCUGUCGAUGGAGAUGGAGGAGCAGAAUAGACCACUCACAUGGCCUCCCAUGUAAUGCAGAUUGGAUCUAUUGUCAGUCAGAUGGACUGGUGGUGUGGGAGCAGUGUGAAGCCAGUUCUUUCACUACAUGGUGUGUAAAGCAAUGAGGCAGACAAAAGCUGGAUUUAAAUUAGGGAAUAUUUCUGCCAAAUUUUGUUCUCUGAAGCAGAAAAAUAAAACACUUAAUGUGUCUGGCAGUGUUUAUUCUGUGCACAGUGUUUUAGCUGAUCAUAAAAGAAAAGCUACGUGUGAACAUUAUCUAGCAACUUCAUCAUAUUCUGAGGAGAUGAGACACUAUGAUUCCACUAUGGUCUGAAAAAGUAUUACACUAAGAAAACUGAAACAAUUUGGCAAGAAAAAAAAGAUGGCAAGAGAAAAAAAAAAAAAAAGUUCUUUUUGAUUAGGUAGGAAUUACCAGUUGUAAUCACAGCAAAAUCAUACCUGCCACAAAGGCCCCAUUUUGAAAGUCCUUGAUGUCCUCAGUCUCCUGCUCAGUGGCCAGAGGCUUCCCACUUUGCCUUCUUGCUGCUUAUUCAGAGAAGAGCAAGAUCUGAAUUGUUGGAAAAGAUAUGUACUGCUCAUGCAGUAACUGCGUGUGCAUGAAAAUAAAAGAGUUCCUUGCCUGUGCACCAUGGGUAUCUGUGCUGAAGCAGUAACUCUCAUUACAUGCAUAUUGGGCCUUUGGAGAUUUGGCCCUGAAUUCUACCAGUGAAAUAUUUUCCAUGACUUUUGCACUAUAUCUUCUUAGAGGUUUGUGCUCCAGUCAUCCAGUACCUUGACAGAAAUAGAAGAUGGUGUUAAAAAUAAUCCAAAGAAAUAAUACUAGACCAUUUUAAAUUCCAAAUGAUUGAAAGAGCAAGUAUCAGCUAAUGUGAAUGAAAACAUAGUUGUGUAAUCCAAGUAAGAAAAAUGUCAAGAAUAACAGCUUUGUAACUGGAUUUGGAAAAAUAAACAAUUCUUUCCUUUUUUGCAUAAUAAAUAUGGUGUGGGUAGCAAAAAAUAACAUUUUA